rfam:Lasius niger Lnig_2.1_10407, whole genome shotgun sequence.
ACAUCGGCCCUUUUCAGGGCCACCAAAAAGCAACGAGGACAUCCCGU